rnacentral:rRNA from 1 species
CAGUCGCCGCGGGAAUACGUAGGUCCCGAGCGUUGUCCGGAUUUAUUGGGCGUAAAGGGAGCGCAGGCGGUUUAGUAAGUCUGAAGUUAAAGGCAUUGGCUCAACCAAUGUAUGCUUUGGAAACUGUUAGACUUGAGUGCAGAAGGGGAGAGUGGAAUUCCAUGUGUAGCGGUGAAAUGCGUAGAUAUAUGGAGGAACACCGGUGGCGAAAGCGGCUCUCAGGUCUGUCACUGACGCUGAGGCUCGAAAGCGUGGGUAGCGAACAGGAUUAGAUACCCCAGUAGUCCCUGUCUCUUAUACA